GUUUGUUCUCCAACAACGCUCAGCUAUGAACACUCUCAUCACCAUUUACUGUCUCAGUGUGAUAUUGUUCUUACUAUAGGAGAUUCAAAAGCUCGUAUCUAGGCUACUCCGCAUUGAAAUCCUUUCCUGCCUUUAAGAGUCUAGCUAAUGUUACAUUGAGUUGGUCACAACAGUAACCAUAACUAUCAGCCAACGUAAUCUGAGGGUGUGAAUAAAACACUUAUUACACAGCUGUACAGCAUAGAGUUCUCCAACAAACUUCAGCUAGUAUUGUUUAGCUGAUUUAACAGUUUGAAGUAUUCACAGCGUUUAAAUCAUGCAGUGAUACUAAACUACAUUAUUGUGAUCAGCACACUACUGUUGGCAAUAGUACAUUCACUGUACAGCAUUGUAGCCUAUAGCUGCCGUUCAUUAACACAUUAAGUUUGGUGGGUUACCUUACUAACCGCUAUUUUCUUUUUUAUUUAGUUCCAGAUUAAAAGCUAAAUUUUAUAAUCUUGGGAAAUUGGGAAUGAGUUACUAUAUUCUUCCCGUUCUGUUUCUCUCCUGAGAGAGGGAAACUCACUCUAUUAGGAUAAUAUACUUAAUCCUACUUUUCUCCUGCCUUCUCUCUACUUUUGUAGUUUGUAAAAGUUGCAGUACUCCUAUCUGCAGCCUUCUAACUCCGCCCAGACUUUCUGUGUCUGUCCAAUCACAGCCAUUGCAGCUCAAUGAGAAGUCUUUGUAAGGCAGGUGCUCAGGGCAAUUGCUGCCUCUUGAAUGUAUCUUCCAUGAGCUAAACAAACCAGGAAGUAACCGGAACUGCUGUCUGAUUGACGGCCGGGGGGGGGGUUAACAAAAUUAAUUCAUAAAAGUUUCUAUUUCUAUUGAUAUCUGCACUUUUUUCAAAAUGGAAAAUAAAAGAGACCACACUUCACAUUAUGCUUUUCAGCAAGCUACAGUGUUUUAGGGGUCUGGAGUGACCCUUUAACACAGCCAAGACCCAUGUGAACUAAAGCCCAAAGUAUCCGUGCCAGAACCUGAAGCAGGGAAUCUCAUCCAAAACCUCUGCUCUAAAAGGGAGUUGCAUACCUUCUAACAAUGUACCCGAGGCACCUGUGCUGCUCUCAUGCUUACUGUGCCAUCUGGAAUACAAAGGGUUAAAGGGACAAUAUAAUCACCAGAACAACUACAGCUUAUUGAAUUAGUUCUGGUGAGUAGAAUCAUUACCAUCAGGCUUUUUGCUGUAAACACUGUCUUUUCAGAGAAAACGCAGUGUUUACAUUACAGCCUAGUGAUAACUUCACUGGCCACUCCUCAGAUGGCUGUUAGAGAUCCUUCCUGGGUCAUGGCUGCCUAAAAUGUAUCCAAACAUUCAGUAUGUCCUCCCUCUGCAUGCAGACACUGAACUUUCCUCAUAGAGAUUCAUUGAUUCAAUUCAUCUCUAUGAGGAGAUGCUGAUUGGCCAGGGCUGUGUUUGAAUCAUGCUGGCUCUGCCCCGAUCUGCCUCUUUGUCAGUCUCAGCCAAUCCUAUGGGGAAGCACUGUGAUUCGAUCAGGCCACCACUUCUGAUGAUGUCAGAGUUAGGUCACAGGCAGAGGCAGCAGCUUCAGAGUUGAAUACAAGUACGAUUUUACUAUCUUUAGGGAGGCAAAGGGGGCCAAGGAGGCAAGAUAGUGGUUUUAACACUAUAAAGUCAGGAAUACAUGUUUGUGUUCCUGACCCUAUACUGCUCCUUUAACAUGAAUCGAUGACUGGCAGCAGUAAUGCGUCAACGCCCUCAGCGGUGAACCCUGCUCUCAGAUAACGGAAAAUAAACAGAGGCACCAUAAAUCUCUGGCUUAACUACUAGUGUUCCUUUAAGCAAUAAACAUAGAAUUAACUACAGAAAUAAAGGACAUAUUUCAUCGUUUCUGCCACGCCAACAGCACGAACAUAAUGUGUCGUCCAUCUAUAUAUCGCGUCUCCGUGAAUUCCCAGUGUCCAUGUUGUAAGAAAGCAGGGUAUCGACACUCAGCUUAGACAUCGAGGGCACGGUAUAAAGGGCAAAGCUGGCAUAUAAAUAAGGCUAUUCUAAAUCCAUACAGGACUUUCUGUGCAAGUGGUAAGCAUUCCUCUCCAUAAACAAACACUAAAAGGAGUUUCUGUUAGAUCCUCUGAGCUCAGUGACCAAGAGAGUAACCGGCCCCAUCAGACUGUCUCACUGCAGAGGGCUCAAAAAAAAAGACAAAAAGAUUAAUUUCUAGACGGUGAGUUGCAAUGUUGCAGAUUUCAGUAAAAACCGGUCAGCUAAUCUACGUAAACCCAUGGUGUGCAAGGAUUUCUGGGAUAUGGAACGUGCGCACAGCAAGCAGUGGAACAAGAACUGUCUGAGCUGUUUGUAGGAUAUCGGGCAAGGCUUUUUACAGUUAUCCAUCACAGCUCCCAAAUACCUGUCACACUGACAGAUACAUCUCUGGCGUACCGCAAGGAAAUACUCUGCAUUGUAAGACCAACACACAGGAAUGUUUAUCUGCAAAUGGCCACAAUCGGCUCGCAGUCAUGGGAGGCAGACAGAAAUCUAUAGAUAGUGAGCACUCACGGCUCUUGCAGGGCUUUAAAUUUAACUUUUAUUGCAGAAUCAGCGUUUCAGUUUAAAAAUAUAAACUUUCCUCAGGAUAAAAGUAUAUAUGUUGCUGCUGCAAUAAAUGUUAUAUUUGAUCGACUGCAAGCGAUGGCAUGAGUGCAGACAAUCUAUGGAUUUUAUUCAUAUAUAGAUCUUUCAACGUAUGUACAUGUUAAGCUUUUGUCCUG
rnacentral:lncRNA from 1 species